rnacentral:lncRNA from 1 species
AUGAUGAGACAACUGAUAGAAUAUACAAGUGAUAAUAUAGAGGCAUUGGCAGAAACAAAGAAAGGAAGACUUAGGAGUAAGGCUUGGGAUCAUUUUAUAAAGGUGAAAGUUAAUGGAGAGGAUAAGGCUCAAUGUAAAUAUUGUAAGAAAUUUCUUGGUGGAAAAUCGAGCAAUGGAACGAAACACUUGCUUCAACAUAUGGAGACAUGCACUCAUCGCAAAAUUCAUGAGAACAAGACUACAAAAGGACAAACAUUUCUCAUGCUAAAUAACUUGCAAGGAAAGCAAGAAUUAGGAGUUGAGUUGCAUCUUGAGGUUCAUUUAUAUUCCUGCUCCUCACUCAAGUGA